GUGGGGAAUAUUGCACAAUGGGGGAAACCCUGAUGCAGCGACGCCGCGUGAGUGAAGAAGUAUUUCGGUAUGUAAAGCUCUAUCAGCAGGGAAGAAAAUGACGGUACCUGACUAAGAAGCCCCGGCUAACUACGUGCCAGCAGCCGCGGUAAUACGUAGGGGGCAAGCGUUAUCCGGAUUUACUGGGUGUAAAGGGAGCGUAGGUGGUUCGGCAAGUCAGAUGUGAAAGCCCGGGGCUCAACUCCGGGAUUGCAUUUGAAACUGUCGGGCUAGAGUGCAGGAGAGGUAAGUGGAAUUCCUAGUGUAGCGGUGAAAUGCGUAGAUAUUAGGAGGAACACCAGUGGCGAAGGCGGCUUACUGGACUGUAACUGACACUGAGGCUCGAAAGCGUGGGGAGCAAACAGGAUUAGAUACCCCAGUAGUCC
rnacentral:rRNA from 1 species